GUCAGAAAACAGUGUCCUAUAUAGGUGCGCAAUAAAUUGUGGCUACGCUACGGCUUUCGAUAUGGCUUGGUAGGUCUCGAUACACUAUCAACUUUAAAAGUAGAUCUUGGUUCAAAAAAGGUUGGGCACCCCUGUGCUAGAGCUUGAUGUCCUUAAGCUGUCCCCGAAGAUCCUGUCCCUGCGAAACAAGCUUAUCUUGAGUGCACAUGUUUGCCCCAAGAGUUGUUUUUUCAAAGGGGGCACUAAAAGAAAAAAAACGGCACAUUUGUUUAUGUGGCCAGUUGUCUAUGUUCUGGUUGUAAUUGUUAUUUAUAUUGUUGCACUGUAUUAAUGCAUGCUGUCUCCGGGUGAAGGAAGGAAGGAGGUUCUCAACUGGUUGUGGGGCCAUUGUCUAAGGGUCACAGAUGAGAUGGCGCCUUUUGCUUAUUACUCCUGCAAAGAAAACAGGUGCAGCAGAUUGAAAGCGCUACUAUCACGUGCAGGACGAUAGUUAUGCUGAGUCACUGCAGUUGGCAACAUCACCAGCCAACACACCCAGUAAGACAAACACACGCACAAUUCAGCCGCUGCAAAUCUUAACACUUGGUUUCGUGGAUGUUCAUUCAGUCCACAUUAGGAUCGACUCAUGCACUGUACAAUACAAUGUAUGUUUAUGUUGUGAUUAAACCGGGUGUUAGUUGUCUCCACAGAAC
ensembl:lncRNA